AUGCAUAUGUGUGUGUGUGUGUAUGUAUGUGUGUGUAUAUAUAUAUAUAUAUAUAUACACACACACACACACACACACACACACACACAUACAC
rnacentral:miRNA from 11 species